rnacentral:rRNA from 1 species
CGGAGGGUGCAAGCGUUAUCCGGAUUUACUGGGUUUAAAGGGUGUGUAGGCGGACUUUUAAGUCAGCGGUGAAAUCUCCGGGCUCAACCCGGAAACUGCCAUUGAUACUAUUGGUCUUGAACGUUGUUGAGGUGGGCGGAACGGGUCAUGUAGCGGUGAAAUGCAUAGAUAUGACCCGGAACACCGAUUGCGAAGGCAGCCCACUAAGCAAUGAUUGACGCUGAGGCACGAAAGCGUGGGGAUCAAACAGGAUUAGAUACCCUGGUAGUCCACGCCCUAAACGAUGAUUACUCGACGUUGGCGAUACACUGAUCAGCGUCCAAGCGAAAGCAUUAAGUAAUCCACCUGGGAAGUACGUUCGCAAGAAUG